rnacentral:rRNA from 1 species
UCAGGAUGAACGCUAGCGACAGGCUAACACAUGCAAGUCGAGGGCAGCAUAGAAGUAGCAAUACUCGGUGGCGACCGGCGCGACGGUGAGUAACGCGUAUGCAACCUACCGUAUCGAGAGGGGAAGUAACCCGGCGAAAGUCGGACUAAUACCGCAUAAAACAGGGGCACCGCAUGGUGAUAUUUGUUAAAGAAAUUCGCUGAUAGAUGGGCAUGCGUUCCAUUAGGUAGUUGGUGAGGUAACGGCUCACCAAGCCGACGAUGGAUAGGGGAACUGAGAGGUUGGUCCCCCACACUGGUACUGAGACACGGACCAGACUCCUACGGGAGGCAGCAGUGAGGAAUAUUGGUCAAUGGGCGGGAGCCUGAACCAGCCAAGUCGCAUGAAGGAAAAGAAGGAUCUAUGGUUCGUAAACUUCUUUUGCAGGGGAAUAAAGUGCAGGACGUGUCCUGUUUUGUAUGUACCCUGAGAAUAAGGAUCGGCUAACUCCGUGCCAGCAGCUGC